rnacentral:lncRNA from 1 species
UGGGACUACAGGUGCCCACCACUGCCCAGAUAGUUUACCUUUAGAUGUUCUGAUCUGCAGUCUAGCUGGGAUCCCAUUGACAGCCAGCAUCGUCCCCCAGGCCUGUGAGUGAAGAGACCUCCACAUAUUCCAGCCCCGCCCCCAGCCAUGGAGUCUUCCCAGCUGAGACGCCAGACAUCAUGGAGCAGAGAUAAGCAGUCCCUGCUGUCCCCUGGCUGAAUUCCUGACCCUCGGAAUCUUUUGCAGACUUGUCGCAAAGAAGCUGAGGCAGGAGGAGACACUCUGUAAACUGUAUCACGUGGCACAGUUGUGAGGUGGUGGUGGUGCUGUAGAACAAGGUCUCUUGGUCAUAACAGCAGGGUCACACUGGCAGGCUGGGGAGAUGUGAUACCCAAUCAACCAAUAUAAAGAAUCAAGCCUUGGAGAAAGAAACGCCAGCAAGGGCGUGCAGGUGUAAGGCAGGACAGCUAACGAAGGGUGCACGAUCAAGCCAGGUACUCCUGUGCGAAACUGCUAUGGCUGAAUUCUGUCCCCCUCCCAAAUUCAUGUGUUGAAGUCCUAAAUGCCAGGACCUCAGAAUGUCAUCUUAUUUGGGAACAGGGUCCUUAAGCAGGUAAUUAAGUUAAAAU